AUGAUCAUAACCUUGGAAGAGCUAGAGAAGGCAACACAUUGUUUUGAUAAUGAUCUCGUCAUUGGAGGUGGGGGACAUGGUAUUGUUUACAAAGGGAUUUUAUCGAACCAACAUAUUGUAGCCAUCAAGAAACCCAAAAACAUGGUGCGGAUGGAGAUCAAUGAGUUUAUCAAUGAGGUAGCUAUCCUAUCACAAAUCAACCAUAGAAAUGUUGUUAAACUAUAUGGUUGUUGCCUUGAAACUGAAGUCCCAAUGUUGGUCUAUGAGUUCAUAUCUAAUGGAACCCUUUACGAGCAUAUUCAUGUAGAAGGACCAAAAUCAUUGUCUUGGGAUAACAGGUUGCGGAUAGCCAUUGAGGCAGCAAAAUCCCUAGCAUAUCUUCACUCGGCUGCUUCAAUCCCUAUAAUCGAUAGGGAUGUCAAGAGUGCUAACAUAUUGUUGGAUGAUACUCUGACGGCAAAGGUAGCAGAUUUUGGAGCUUCAAAGUACAUUCCGAUGGAUAUAUCUGGGGUUACCACAAGGGCACAAGCUUUGGAGUCGUCCUUGUGGAACUGCUAA
rnacentral:rRNA from 1 species